UACAGGGGGUGCAAACGUUGCUCGGAAUUAUUGGGCGUAAAGCGCGCGUAGGCGGCCACUUAAGUCGGAUGUGAAAGCCCCUGGCUCAACUGGGGAAGUGCACCCGAAACUGAAUGGCUUGAAUGCAAAAGAGGGUCGCGGAAUUCCCGGUGUAGAGGUGAAAUUCGUAGAUAUCGGGAGGAACACCAGUGGCGAAGGCGGCGAUCUGGGAAGAUACUGACGCUGAGGUGCGAAAGCGUGGGGAGCAAACAGG
rnacentral:rRNA from 1 species